UUUCUUUGUAAUAAUAAGACCUAGUCAUUAAAUGUUUCCGCUCGUGCCCUUCUGGUUCCUCCCCCCUCUCCUCAUUUCUCGUCCCCCCUCCCUCGUUGUCCCUUUCACAUGCCUCUCCCCCAAUCUCCCUCUCUCUCUUCUUUAAAACUUUCCACGAUAUUCCUCCUCGAUUACGUUUGUUUUUCCUCUUUCUUGAAAAGAUGGCGUUUAUGACGCAAUUGGAUGAAAUAAAGAUCAGGAUGCAUGCGCAUAUUUCAGCUAUGGUGAUCAUCUUCAUUCCACUAAUUUGUAUGUUUCCUUUUGCUAAAAUCUGAGCUUAUUAUACUAGUCAAAGUUUCGAUUGGUCCGACCCUGAUUUGGACCGGGUCGCAUCCUUUUGCUGGGGUAGAAAAAAAAAAGAAGAGGACAGAAUUCUCUCUUUUUGUCAUAGUUAUUCUCUUGUACUGGGGUGUGUGCGUCUAUAUAUAAAACCCAUCUUCAACAACUUUUCAAUCUCCUUUAUUGACUGCACAACUCUCCCUCCCUCCCUCCCUCCCUCUCUCUCUCUCUCACUCCCUUUAUCUGCGAGAGAGUUUCCAGAGGGUCUUGGUGGGAGGUUUCGAUGUGAACGCAGCAAUGGUUGGACCAUGCGGCGUCACAUGAUGAUCCUAUGUCCACCAGGAGAGAUCUGCUAACCAUUGAUGAUCCAGUGAUUAUCAAUAGUUGCUUCGUUUUCAUCACCGGAGGUUAUAAGAUAUAGCUUCAUGCACAGUGGGGCACAUGUUAAUGAGGUCGAUGAUGAUCCUCCUGGCCUUGUUCACUCUUCUGCUGCUGGUGCUCCCGCUGGUGUUGCCACCACUGCCCCCGCCGCCGCUGAUGCUCCUCUUCGUGCCGGUCCUGAUCAUGUCCCUCCUCAUUUUGCUGGCCUGCUCGCCGGCCCGAGAUCCGAGCGUUCCUCUCGCAUCUGCUUGAGCUCGAGCUGAUGACGACAACGCUGAUCAAGUUUUGGUGCAAGUGAUUUGAAGACCUAGAGGUUGGAGGGAAUGAUUGAUGAUGCUAAGGAAGUUUUCUCAAACCUGAACUGUAAAGCUUCGUUCAUGAAUGAGCACUUGAGUUGUAUCACAGUGAAAAGGAUUCAUUAGCUUCGCCCUUUUGCGUUCGGUGUAUGACAGGACCUAUCUUUGCGCUUCAUACAUUUGUGAAAUUUAACAAAAUCAUGCAUGCGUAUGGCA